rnacentral:rRNA from 1 species
GACGAACGCUGGCGGCGUGCUUAACACAUGCAAGUCGAACGAAGAGCGAUGGAAGCUUGCUUCUAUCAAUCUUAGUGGCGAGCGGGUGAGUAACGCGUAAUCAACCUGCCCUUCAGAGGGGGACAACAGUUGGAAACGACUGCUAAUACCGCAUACGAUCUAAACUCGGCAUCGAGGAUAGAUGAAAGGUGGCCUCUACAUGUAAGCUAUCACUGAAGGAGGGGAUUGCGUCUGAUUAGCUAGUUGGAGGGGUAACGGCCCACCAAGGCGAUGAUCAGUAGCCGGUCUGAGAGGAUGAACGGCCACAUUGGGACUGAGACACGGCCCAGACUCCUACGGGAAGCAGCAGUGGGGAAUCUUCCGCAAUGGACGAAAGUCUGACGGAGCAACGCCGCGUGAGUGAUGACGGCCUUCGGGUUGUAAAGCUCUGUUAAUCGGGACGAAAGGCCUUCUUGCGAAUAGUGAGAAGGAUUGACGGUACCGGAAUAGAAAGCCACGGCUAACUACGUG